rnacentral:rRNA from 1 species
AUUGAACGCUGGCGGCAGGCCUAACACAUGCAAGUCGAGCGAGCGGCGGGCGGGUGAGUAUUAUCUCGGAGACUGUCUGAGGGAGGGGGAUAACUACUGGAAACGGUAGCUAAUACCGCAUACCAUCUGAUGUGCCCACAUGGGAUUAUCUCGUAGGUGGGGUAACGGCUCACCUAGGCGACGAUCCCUAGCUGGUCUGAGAGGAUGACCAGCCACACUGGAACGGAGACACGGUCCAGACUCCUACGGGAGGCAGCAGUGGGGAAUAGUGCACAAUGGGCGCAAGCCUGAUGCAGCCAUGCCGCGUGUGUGAAGAAGGCCUUCGGGUUGUAAAGCACUUUCAGCGGGGAGGCGUUACCCGCAGAAGAAGCACCGGCUAACUCCGUGCCAGCAGCCGCGGUAAUAC